UACGGAGGGGGCUAGCGUUAUUCGGAAUUACUGGGCGUAAAGCGCACGUAGGCGGCUUUGUAAGUAAGAGGUGAAAGCCCGGAGCUCAACUCCGGAACUGCCUUUUAGACUGCAUCGCUUGAAUCCAGGAGAGGUGAGUGGAAUUCCGAGUGUAGAGGUGAAAUUCGUAGAUAUUCGGAAGAACACCAGUGGCGAAGGCGGCUCACUGGAGCUGGUAUUGACGCUGAGGUGCGAAAGCGUGGGUAGCAAACAGG
rnacentral:rRNA from 1 species